GACGAACGCUGGCGGCGUGCUUAACACAUGCAAGUCGAACGGAAAGGCCCCGUUGUUGGUACUCGAGCGUCGAACGGGUGAGUAAGACGUGAGUAAGCUGCCCUUCCCUUCGGGAUAGCUUCAGGAAAGUGAGGCUAAUACCGGAUAGGAAUCCUUUCUGCAUGGUGGGGGUUGGAUAGCUACGGCGGUUUUGGGUGGACUUGUGGGGUAUCUGCUUGCUGGUUGGGUAGUGGGUUACCUAGGCUUUGGCGGGUAGCCAGCCUGAGUGGGAGACCGGCCACAUUGGGACUGAGGUGAGGCCCAGGCUCCGACGGGAGGGAGCCGGGGGGAAGAUUGCAGAAGGGGCGGAAGGCUGGUGCAGCAAGGCCGCGGGCGGGAAGACGGCCUUCGGGUUGGAAACCGAUUUCAGCAGGGGCGAAGCUUGUGGUGACGGUACCUGCAGAAGAAGCACCGGCUAACUACGUG
rnacentral:rRNA from 1 species